AGUGAACGCUGGCGGUAGGCCUAACACAUGCAAGUCGAACGGCAGCACAGGAGAGCUUGCUCUCUGGGUGGCGAGUGGCGGACGGGUGAGGAAUACAUCGGAAUCUACUCUGUCGUGGGGGAUAACGUAGGGAAACUUACGCUAAUACCGCAUACGACCUACGGGGCAAAGCAGGGGACCUUCGGACCUUGCGCGAUUGAAUGAGCCGAAGUCGGAUUAGCUAGUUGGCGGGGUAAAGGCCCACCAAGGCGACGAUCCGUAGCUGGUCUGAGAGGAUGAUCAGCCACACUGGAACUGAGACACGGUCCAGACUCCUACGGGAGGCGGCAGUGGGGAAUAUUGGACAAUGGGCGCAAGCCUGAUCCAGCCAUACCGCGUGGGUGAAGAAGGCCUUCGGGUUGUAAAGCCCUUUUGUUGGGAAAGAAAUCCAGCUGGCUAAUACCCGGUUGGGAUGACGGUACCCAAAGAAUAAGCACCGGCUAACUUCGUGCCAGCCGCCGCCGUAA
rnacentral:rRNA from 1 species